CCUACGGGUGGCAGCAGUGAGGAAUAUUGGUCAAUGGGAGAGAUCCUGAACCAGCCAAGCCGCGUGAGGGAAGACGGCCCUAUGGGUUGUAAACCGCUUUUGCACGGGGAUAACACCCUCCACUUGUGGAGGUCUGCAGGUACCGUGCGAAUAAGGGCCGGCUAAUUCCGUGCCAGCAGCCGCGGUAAUACGGAAGGCCCGAGCGUUAUCCGGAUUCAUUGGGCUUAAAGGGAGCGUAGGCGGGCGUUCAAGUCAGCUGUAAAAUCGCGCGGCUCAACCGCGCCCCGCAGUUGAAACUGGACGCCUUGAGUUCACAACAGGCAGGCGGAAUUCGUGGUGUAGCGGUGAAAUGCAUAGAUAUCACGAGGAACCCCGAUUGCGAAGGCAGCCUGCCGGGGUGCGACUGACGCUGAGGCUCGAAGGUGCGGGUAUCAAACAGGAUUAGAUACCCUGGUAGUC
rnacentral:rRNA from 1 species